rnacentral:rRNA from 1 species
GACGAACGCUGGCGGCGUGCCUAAUACAUGCAAGUAGAACGCUGAAGGAGGAGCUUGCUCUUCUGGAUGAGUUGCGAACGGGUGAGUAACGCGUAGGUAACCUGCCUGGUAGCGGGGGAUAACUAUUGGAAACGAUAGCUAAUACCGCAUAAUAUUGACUAUUGCAUGAUAGUCAAUUGAAAGGUGCAAAUGCACCACUACCAGAUGGACCUGCGUUGUAUUAGCUAGUUGGUGGGGUAACGGCUCACCAAGGCGACGAUACAUAGCCGACCUGAGAGGGUGAUCGGCCACACUGGGACUGAGACACGGCCCAGACUCCUACGGGAGGCAGCAGUAGGGAAUCUUCGGCAAUGGACGGAAGUCUGACCGAGCAACGCCGCGUGAGUGAAGAAGGUUUUCGGAUCGUAAAGCUCUGUUGUAAGAGAAGAACGAGUGGAGAGGGAAAGUUCACA